rnacentral:lncRNA from 1 species
GUAAGUUUUUUUCUUAAUUUUUGUGUAAUAUACGUUGUAUUAUAUUUGAAUUCUUUCUUUUCUUUAUCAAUAUAUGAAGAAGAAAUUUAAAAUAUAUCAUAGUCAGAAAUAAUUUUAAUUAUAUAUAAGUAUAAUAUAAUAUUUUGAUAAGGAUAUCUUCUGAUAUUCUAAUUCUGCCAUUGAGUAGGACCUUAUGAGAUAGUGCAUGG